GAUGAUGUGCAAGCAAUUAAUUGAGGUAGUUGUCAAGUCGAUCACAGAUGGGGCCCGGCAGCACCAGCAGGCCCAGGCGUGUCUGCUUCUUCAGAAAGCCCUGCAGAAUAAGUGUUUCAAGCUUUCAUUGUCUGGAAAAGAGUGGGAAGAUUUCAUCAGAGAAAGCACCCAUCAAAUUACGGAGGUAGGAUGAAUCGCUCUGACUUUACAUUUCCUGAUACGCAUCGUAUUCCUCUUUCUUUUCUAAUCCCUGUUCAUGUGUUGGGGAAAAGAAAAACAUGUGAGUGCUGAAACUGAAAACGGGCUGUUUUAGAGCAACAGAGAUGAGUUUGGAAAAAGAUUGGUGGUGUCUGUUAAUAAAGUAUGAGCCUAGCCUGGGAAAACAGUAAAACAUUUCGAUAAACAUUUAGAAUUCUUUAUUGGCCAAGUGUGAUUGGACACACAAGGAAUUUGUUUCUGCUGCAUAAGCUGUCAGUGUACAU